rnacentral:rRNA from 1 species
CAGCAGCCGCGGGAAUACGAAGGGGGCUAGCGUUGUUCGGAUUUACUGGGCGUAAAGGGUGCGUAGGCGGAUUGUUAAGUCAGGGGUGAAAUCCCAAGGCUCAACCUUGGAACUGCCUUUGAUACUGUUUGUCUUGAGUUCGAGAGAGGUAAGUGGAACUGCGAGUGUAGAGGUGAAAUUCGUAGAUAUUCGCAAGAACACCAGUGGCGAAGGCGGCUUACUGGCUCGAAACUGACGCUGAGGCGCGAAAGCGUGGGGAGCAAACAGGAUUAGAUACCCCCGUAGUCCCUGUCUCUUAUAU